GCGCUCGUCUCAGAAUCUUGACAAAGUCCCCGACUGUCUUCUGACUACGGAUCAGAAGGUGAGGAGUUCGAAUCUCUUCGGGCGCGCCA
rnacentral:tRNA from 1 species